rnacentral:rRNA from 1 species
AGUGAACGCUGGCGGCGUGCUUAACACAUGCAAGUCGAACGGAUGAAAUAAGCUUGCUUAUUUCGUUAGUGGCGCACGGGUGAGUAAUGUAUAGCUAACCUGCCCUUUAGUGGGGGACAACAGUUGGAAACGACUGCUAAUACCCCAUACUCCUUCUUAUCUUAAGAUAAGUUGGGAAAGAUUUAUUGCUAAAGGAUGGGGCUUUAUGGUAUCAGCUAGUUGGUGGGGUAACGGCCUACCAAGGCGAUGACGCCUACCUGGUCUGAGAGGAUGAUCAGGCACACAGGAACUGAGACACGGUCCAGACUCCUACGGGAGGCAGCAGUGGGGAAUAUUGCACAAUGGAGGAAACUCUGAUGCAGCAACGCCGCGUGGAGGAUGACGCAUUUCGGUGUGUAAACUCCUUUUAUAAGGGAAGAUAAUGACGGUACCUUAUGAAUAAGCACCGGCUAACUCCGUGCCAGCAGCCGCCGUAA